GAUGAACGCUGGCGGCGUGCCUAAUACAUGCAAGUCGAGCGAACAGACGAGGAGCUUACUCCUCUGACGUUAGCGGCGGACGGGUGAGUAACACGUGGAUAACCUACCUAUAAGACUGGGAUAACUUCGGGAAACCGGAGCUAAUACCGGAUAACAUGUUGAACCGCAUGGUUCAACAGUGAAAGACGGUCUUGCUGUCACUUAUAGAUGGAUCCGCGUCGCAUUAGCUAGUUGGUAAGGUAACGGCUUACCAAGGCAACGAUGCGUAGCCGACCUGAGAGGGUGAUCGGCCACACUGGAACUGAGACACGGUCAAGACUCCUACGGGAGGCAGCAGUAGGGAAUCUUCCGCAAUGGGCGAAAGCCUGACGGAGCAACGCCGCGUGAGUGAAGAAGGUCUUCGGAGCGUAAAACUCUGUUAUUAGGGAAGAACAAAUGUGUAAGUAACUAUGCACGUCUUGACGGUACCGAAUCAGAAAGCCACGGCUAACUACGUG
rnacentral:rRNA from 1 species